AGCAAAUAUUGGUGUAUCACUGUACCUCGUGAGAUUGUUGAUUUUUGUUAUGAAAUCUUUCAAAUUCACGGUUUCUGUGAUCAUGACGUGAGUGUGAGUGAGCGAACGGUGCUUGAUUUGUGUUCUUUUUGUCGUGAGAAUCAUCUCCAAUGGAAGGCGUUCGGAAGACUUCAUCUGUGAACGUUGGCUCCCCGUCAGACACUGGGGACAGCACCAUGACGACGUUGGUAGUAGGUGACACGUGUCCGGUGGCGCACUGGGCGAUGCUGAAGUUGUGUUCCAGCUUGACGCACUGGAGAGGCAAGCAGCAGCCAGCUGACAACUCCCGAUGUGGAGGGCCCGGUGCUGCACCAGCUGCUGUCUUACAUCUACACACUUCAGCCCCCCCCCCCCUCCCCCUUCGUGCUGCCAAGCACAGUUUCCCAGCUAUUGGUUGCUGCCGAUAAGUAUGGUGUGUCAGUCCUGAAGGAAGAGUGUGAGAGACAGUUGGCGAUGGUGACUGCAGCAGCCACAGCUGUUGUGGUGGUUACGCAUUCCUUUGUCAGAUCCGCCUCCCGCAUAAAGGCCCGUUUGGUUUGAGAUGGGUAUAAUGCCUAAAUGGCUGCCAUCUGAUCCUCCAACAAGAACCAGAAUCAUCUCCAAUGGAAGGCGUUCGGAAGACUUCAUCUGUGAACGUGGGCUCCCUGUCAGACGCUGGGGACAGCACCGUGACGACGUUGGUAGUAGGUGACACGUGUCCAGUGGCGCACUGGGCGAUGCUGAAGUUGUGUUCCAGCACGACGCACUGGAGAGCAAGCAGCAGCCAGCUGACAACUCCCGAUGUGGAGGGCCCGGUGCUGCACCAGCUGCUGUCUUACAUCUACACACUUCAGCCCCCCCCCCCCUCCCCCUUCGUGCCGCCAAGCACAGUUUCCCAGCUAUUGGUUGCUGCCGACAAGUAUGGUGUGUCAGUCGUGAAGGAAGAGUGUGAGACACAGUUGGCGAUGGUGACUGCAGCAGCCACAGCUGUUGUGGUGGUUACGCAUUCCUUUGUCAGAUCCGCCUCCCGCAUAAAGGCCCGUUUGGUUUGAGAUGGAUAUAAUGCCUAAAUGGCUGCCAUCUGAUCCUCCAACAAGAACCAGGAUCAUCCACAAUGGGACAAGUUCAGGGGACAUCAUCUGUCAACCUGGGUUCCCUGUUGGGAACGGUGCCACGGUGACUCUAGUGGUGGACGAUACACGCCAGAUAGAGCCUCGCGCCGUCCUGCGGCCGUGUUCCAGUACGACGCACUGGUGGGCGGCUGGAGCCAGGUGACAAUCCCAGAGUUGGAGGACCUGGUGCUGCACCAGCCGCUGGCUUAGCUGUAUGCUCUCCAGGCCUCCCAGCUGCCAAACACAGCUUCCCAGUGUUUGGUCAUUGCUGAUAGGUGUGGGGUAUCUGCCCUGGAGGAGUAGAUGCAGAUGACCGUGAGGACAGUCGCAGCCACAGCCACAGCUGUUCUUGCGGUUGUGCACUCCUAUGUCAGUCUAAGGCAGGCAGCCAUCUCCUGCAUAAAGGCCUACUUAGUUCCUGUGAAGGCCACACAGGGCUGGAUGAAUGUGAAGCUUUACCAGCCCCGACAUUUGAUUGCAGUGAUACUGCUGCCAUUUGAUCCAACAGAAACAACUAGGAGCAUGUCUGGAGAGGAGAAUGGAAGGAAGUUGAUGUAGGCACCUGAAAGGGUGACAGUCGGCAAACUGUGGACGCUGUUUGUAGCGGGUGCAGAAGUGAUAUGACAGGUGGACUGCCCUGUGCUACGUAGCAAUGAAGGGAUACGUGAAUGCAGCGAGGUCACCAGCGGAGAGCGGAGCUGAGGUGGAUGCGGAGAUAAGCAGCACUCUCUGCACACUGCUGUGAGGAGUGAACACGCAGCACUGGUGCAACUGCAGCUGCCAUCCUCUGCUGACACCGAAACCAGGAAUGUGGAGGGGAGAAUGCUGCUCCACUGUGCGGCACUUCAAGAUUGUGUACAUUGGCUACUGUGUUGGAGUUUGCAGGGACCAACAGAUGGCCAGGAAUGAUUUGAGAGAGACCCCUCUAAGCAUGGCCCAAGAUGAGGACAGAUGGCAGCCGAUGAUUGCAGUACUAUCAUGAAAUGUGCAGUCUGAUAAACUUCUGUGAAAUAAACGAGAAACAUUUU